rnacentral:lncRNA from 1 species
UCAAAUGAAAGGUAUUUGAGUUCUCUUUCCAACGCAACUGAUUUUGUCCAAAUCCAACAUCGGAGUAAAACGUUAUGCCCAAUUUACUUCAGCAUAUCAACCUAUCAACUAAGGGACUGUUGCGACCUUUUUUGUUUCCUUAGGGGUAUUAUCGUCUUUUCACCCAUCUCACCUCAGCAACAACAUGAAAUAAAAUCAGUAUUUGGGCAAAAUACAUCACAAACUAAUCAAUUCCUCUCAAAAAUCCAACCCUAAUCCUUUCCCUAAAGAUUAAGAACUCAUCCUAAGUUCAAGAAUUCCAGGAAAAGAAACAAGAUCCGGGUUCCAUCUUUCAAACUAAAUUAUCUAAGGUACGUGGGGUUUUCCUAUACCUAUAUGGGCAUGGUAAAUUCUUCUUAAUCAUGCUAAAGGUUUAGAAAUCAUGAAUUUACAAAAAGAGAUUUUUGAUUUAUAAUUAAAUUUAUGCUUUUAAAGUUUUUGAUGAUAUUGAUUUGGUCUUGAGGCCUUUUCCCCAAAUUGAUUUGUAAUCUUAUAUAUGUAUGUAUGUGUUUAAGUUGUUAAUUGAAUUUAGAGCAUGAUUAUUUACGUUUCGUCUCAUGUUGCAAUACCUCUUGAUUUUAGAAUAUUAUUUAGAAGCAUGGUAUCAAUGUUCUUGACUAUUGUUGAACUAUCUAAGAUUGAUUUUAAAUUGAUGAGAGAGGGGUUUUACAUGUUGAUAAAUAUUGAAUAUAUAUAUAUAUAAUGAAAGAAUUGCAUGAUUUUCCAAGAAUACACAACCACCACAUGUUUGUUGAAAUGAUUGAAAAGAAUGAUCUUUGCAUAAUUUGAUAAAUGUUUUUGGAAGAAUGAAUAUUCUUGAAUUAUUUGAAGUAUGGUGGUCUAAACUUUAUGUUUUAAAAGAGAAAACUGUGAUAUGAUAUUUCAUGGCUCAGAAACAUGACUUGCAAGUCUUGGUAUGACGAUACCAAAUCAGACAAUGUUAUGACAGACAUAGAAUUGAAUAGAAAUCAGAUUUCACUCAUAUUUUCAGAUUUUGAAUUCAGAAAGUUGCAUGUUUAGAAAAGGUUAAAAAUGGGCUUAAAGAGAGUUAGAUGGUUACCCGAAGAAAGUACGAGUUGAAAGACUCUAUGCUAGAAACCGUGAUUUGACGACACGGGAUUAUGGUACCAUGCUUUGUGAUCUUGUGUACCUUAAUUCAUGUCGUCCCAAAUUGGGAUUUAUGGUUAGGAGCCCUGCUUUGUGAUCUUGUGUACUACCAUGACAUGUUGACUUGAUUGGGGAUUAUGACACCCUGCUUUGUGAUCUUGUGUGUCCCCCCUUGUUGACACCCCAAUUCUUGCUGCAAACUUGAAUUGGGGGCUUGGCCUCCGAGUCAAGGGAGGAUUCCAUAUAGCCCUUAGGAUUGUAGAAAUGUAGGGUGUACUAUCUAGCUCAGAAGUAAUACAAAGAAUGAAAUCGCAUUGACAAGAUUGCUUUAAGAUUUUUGAAAUGGCCCAUGUAUUUUAAACUAUUUCAUGCAUAAUGUUUUAUGACUUGCUCUCACCUAUGCUAUAUAUGUAUAAAUUCAUUAUUUUGGAUUGCCCUACGUACCAAUACUUCUGUAUUGACUCCCUAUAUUUCAGGAUUCUGAUACACAGUUCUAGGGUCCCGUUAAGCAGUAGAUUGACUUGUCACAAGUUCGCAGCUGGUGAGCCUCCCUUAUUUUGCAGGGCCUAAUGUAUAUGUCAUUGUUAUUUUAUUUUGAUUUAGGGUUUAACUGGGGGCCUUGUCCCAUUCUUUAGACAGAGAUUAUUUUCAGUUAGUAGAGAUUGCGCAGACAAGUGUUAGAUGUUGAUCUUUAUGAAUUUAUUUCAGUAUUGAGUAGUUUGAAAUAAAAGUUCACCAUGAUUCUGUUGUAAUAAUUUUCCACAUUUUUUCUUUAUUGUAUAUGAAUUGUGUUCACGAUUGCCAUAUAGAAAGGGGUGCCCGGGCCUUCAUGGUUCGGAAUGCUCGUUGCAGUCAGGGCCCAGAUCGGGUUGUGACAAUAUGUUCCACAAAAUUCAAUGAAUUGAGUAAUUCCAAAAUUUUAUUGUUCUUUUCUCUUUAAUGAAAUAAAAUAUCUAAGAAGAAAGAAUAAAAUGAAGAUGACAUGGAAUUUGUAUACUAUAGUCUAAGACCAGUUGGCAUAUAUAAAAACAAAAGUAAAUUCAAUAUAUUUNNNNNNNNNNNNNNNNNNNNNNNNNNNNNNNNAUAUAUAUAUAUUCAUUGAUUUCUUCAUAUAUAUUUUAAUGUUAUUUUAAAAUUCUUUUAGUGAAAAUUUUGACUCUACUAUUAACCUAAUCGUCAUAGAUCAAACUAAUUUUUAAUGGAUCAAAAAGUUGGGUGGAUUCUUUUUAAUGGAUUAAUUUUUUUAAAAAAAAUUAAAAAAAAUUGACGUUGACCUCUGAUAUGCUGCCACGUGGCAAAACUAUUUUCUAAAAACCGGCUAUUAAAAGUAAUGACAUGGAUGGGUCAGUUUUGUUACGGCGAUGACAUAAAUGAGC